rfam:Oryza sativa (indica cultivar-group) chromosome 11, whole genome shotgun sequence.
NNNNNUUUUCAUAUUCAACGUUUGACCAUCCGUCUUAUUUAACAAAUAAUGAAAAAAAUAAAAUUCAAAAUACCGGUCACGCAUAAACGUAUUAAUUAUGUUUUAUCAUCUAACCAUAAUGAAAAUACUAAUUAUAAAAAAAUUUCAUAUAAGACGGACCGUCCAACGUUGGACCCGAAAACCCCUGGUUUGUCUUUUU